rnacentral:rRNA from 1 species
UGGGGAAUUUUGGACAAUGGGCGAAAGCCUGAUCCAGCAAUGCCGCGUGUGUGAAGAAGGCCUUCGGGUUGUAAAGCACUUUUGUCCGGAAAGAAAUCCUUGGCUCUAAUACAGUCGGGGGAUGACGGUACCGGAAGAAUAAGCACCGGCUAACUACGUGCCAGCAGCCGCGGUAAUACGUAGGGUGCAAGCGUUAAUCGGAAUUACUGGGCGUAAAGCGUGCGCAGGCGGUUUGCUAAGACCGAUGUGAAAUCCCCGGGCUCAACCUGGGAACUGCAUUGGUGACUGGCAGGCUAGAGUAUGGCAGAGGGGGGUAGAAUUCCACGUGUAGCAGUGAAAUGCGUAGAGAUGUGGAGGAAUACCGAUGGCGAAGGCAGCCCCCUGGGCCAAUACUGACGCUCAUGCACGAAAGCGUGGGGGAGCAAACAGGAUUAGAUACCCUGGUAGUCCACGCCCUAAACGAUGUCAACUAGUUGUUGGGGAUUCAUUUCCUUAGUAACGUAGCUAACGCGUGAAGUUGACCGCCUGGGGAGUACGGUCGCAAGAUUAAAACUUAAAGGAAUUGACGGGGUCAUAGCUGUUU